rnacentral:rRNA from 1 species
CAGGCUUAACGCAUGCAAGUCGAGGGGCAGCAUGGUCUUAGCUUGCUAAGGCCGAUGGCGACCGGCGCACGGGUGAGUAACACGUAUCCAACCUGCCGUCUACUCUUGGACAGCCUUCUGAAAGGAAGAUUAAUACAAGAUGGCAUCAUGAGUCUGCAUGUUCACAUGAUUAAAGGUAUUCCGGUAGACGAUGGGGAUGCGUUCCAUUAGAUAGUAGGCGGGGUAACGGCCCACCUAGUCUUCGAUGGAUAGGGGUUCUGAGAGGAAGGUCCCCCACAUUGGAACUGAGACACGGUCCAAACUCCUACGGGAGGCAGCAGUGAGGAAUAUUGGUCAAUGGGCGAGAGCCUGAACCAGCCAAGUAGCGUGAAGGAUGACUGCCCUAUGGGUUGUAAACUUCUUUUAUAAAGGAAUAAAGUCGGGUAUGCAUACCCGUUUGCAUGUACUUUAUGAAUAAGGAUCGGCUAACUCCGUGCCAGCAGCCGCGGUAAUACGGAGGAUCCGAGCGUUAUCCGGAUUUAUUGGGUUUAAAGGGAGCGUAGAUGGAUGUUUAAGUCAGUUGUGAAAGUUUGCGGCUCAACCGUAAAAUUGCAGUUGAUACUGGAUAUCUUGAGUGCAGUUGAGGCAGGCGGAAUUCGUGGUGUAGCGGUGAAAUGCUUAGAUAUCACGAAGAACUCCGAUUGCGAAGGCAGCCUGCUAAGCUGCAACUGACAUUGAGGCUCGAAAGUGUGGGUAUCAAACAGGAUUAGAUACCCUGGUAGUCCACACGGUAAACGAUGAAUACUCGCUGUUUGCGAUAUACAGCAAGCGGCCAAGCGAAAGCGUUAAGUAUUCCACCUGGGGAGUACGCCGGCAACGGUGAAACUCAAAGGAAUUGACGGGGGCCCGCACAAGCGGAGGAACAUGUGGUUUAAUUCGAUGAUACGCGAGGAACCUUACCCGGGCUUAAAUUGCAGAUGAAUUACGGUGAAAGCCGUAAGCCGCAAGGCAUCUGUGAAGGUGCUGCAUGGUUGUCGUCAGCUCGUGCCGUGAGGUGUCGGCUUAAGUGCCAUAACGAGCGCAACCCUUGUUGUCAGUUACUAACAGGUUCCGCUGAGGACUCUGACAAGACUGCCAUCGUAAGAUGUGAGGAAGGUGGGGAUGACGUCAAAUCAGCACGGCCCUUACGUCCGGGGCUACACACGUGUUACAAUGGGGGGUACAGAGGGCCGCUACCACGCGAGUGGAUGCCAAUCCCAAAAACCUCUCUCAGUUCGGACUGGAGUCUGCAACCCGACUCCACGAAGCUGGAUUCGCUAGUAAUCGCGCAUCAGCCACGGCGCGGUGAAUACGUUCCCGGGCCUUGUACACACCGCCCGUCAAGCCAUGGGAGCCGGGGGUACCUGAAGUGCGUAACCGCGAGGAGCGCCCUAGGGUAAAACUGGUGACUGGGGCUAAG